rnacentral:rRNA from 1 species
UACGGAAGGCAGCAGUGGGGAAUAUUGCACAAUGGGCGCAAGCCUGAUGCAGCCAUGCCGCGUGUAUGAAGAAGGCCUUCGGGUUGUAAAGUACUUUCAGCGGGGAGGAAGGCGGUGAAGUUAAUAGCUUCACCGAUUGACGUUACCCGCAGAAGAAGCACCGGCUAACUCCGUGCCAGCAGCCGCGGUAAUACGGAGGGUGCAAGCGUUAAUCGGAAUUACUGGGCGUAAAGCGCACGCAGGCGGUCUGUCAAGUCGGAUGUGAAAUCCCCGGGCUUAACCUGGGAACUGCAUUCGAAACUGGCAGGCUAGAGUCUUGUAGAGGGGGUAGAAUUCCAGGUGUAGCGGUGAAAUGCGUAGAGAUCUGGAGGAAUACCGGUGGCGAAGGCGGCCCCUGGGACAAAGCUGACGCUCAGGUGCGAAAGCGUGGGGAGCAAACGAGGAUUAGGAU